rnacentral:rRNA from 1 species
AUUGAACGCUGGCGGCAGGCCUAACACAUGCAAGUCGAGCGGCAGCGGGAAAGUAGCUUGCUACUUUUGCCGGCGAGCGGCGGACGGGUGAGUAACGCCUGGGGAUCUGCCCAGUCGAGGGGGAUAACUACUGGAAACGGUAGCUAAUACCGCAUACGCCCUACGGGGGAAAGCAGGGGACCUUCGGGCCUUGCGCGAUUGGAUGAACCCAGGUGGGAUUAGCUAGUUGGUGAGGUAAUGGCUCACCAAGGCGACGAUCCCUAGCUGGUCUGAGAGGAUGAUCAGCCAACCUGGAACUGAGACACGGUCCAGACUCCUACGGGAGGCAGCAGUGGGGAAUAUUGCACAAUGGGGGAAACCCUGAUGCAGCCAUGCCGCGUGUGUGAAGAAGGCCUUCGGGUUGUAAAGCACUUUCAGCGAGGAGGAAAGGUUGGUAGCUAAUAACUGCCAGCUGUGACGUUACUCGCAGAAGAAGCACCGGCUAACUCCGUGCCAGCAGCCGCAGUAA